UACGUAGGGGGCUAGCGUUGUCCGGAUUUAUUGGGCGUAAAGAGCGUGUAGGCGGCCAGGUAGGUCUGCUGUGAAAACUCGAGGCUCAACCUCGAGACGUCGGCGGAAACCAUCUGGCUAGAGUCCGGAAGAGGAGAGUGGAAUUCCUGGUGUAGCGGUGAAAUGCGCAGAUAUCAGGAAGAACACCCGUGGCGAAGGCGGCUCUCUGGGGGUUAUCUGACGCUGAGGGACGAAAGCCAGGGGAGCGAACGGG
rnacentral:rRNA from 1 species